AUCGACUACUCGAGUAGGUAAUUAAAUUCGGUUCGAAGUGUUUAGUUUAUAGUACAGAUCUUCAGAAUUUAUGCGCGUGAACAUUCUCAAUAAAAUGCUAGUUCAGUCAGUUUUUUAAAACGAAAAAGAUUGAAUUGGAAUAGCUGAUCGAUUGUUUUCAUUAGAAAUUAUAUUUUCUCAACACGUGCUCUUCGUCUAGUGUUUAAGUUUUUUCAUAUUUAGUUGUGGAAAAUCUACCUACUUUAAUUCAAGAUGGUUCUAAACAAAGUCUGUUGUUUAUCAUUGCGAAUGGGCAGUCUGGUUUUACUCUAUAUUAACCUGAUCAGUUGUGUAUGGAACGUGGUGUCUAUUUUGUCAGUCACUGUAGGCGAUCCCACAAUCGGUGACUUUAUAAGCGAAAAUGCUCCAUUGUAUUACUCGAAUAUGCUUCUAUCAGUAAUAGGCGGAUUGAUUUUCUUGGCAACCAUCGUAUCCAUUACUAAAAAAACACCCUCCAAUGCUUUGUUGACUGCCUCCAUAUCAUUUUUAAUCUUCGGAGUGAUCUACUGCGUUUGUGUGAUGGUAAUACUUAAUUUGAAUGAUUCUUUCAAGAACUUUUACUAUGAGAUGGUGGACAAGGAAGCGCAGAAGCACACAUAUGAUCCGAAGGUUCGAGAGGAAUAUGUGAAACUGAUGCAUGCUUUGUAUGGGUCGCUUAUGACUUUUACUGUCCUCCUUCUGGUUUGUAACAUCGUUUUUGCUCUCUAUUCAGUUCUGGUUUUCUACAGCUACAUGGCUGAGAUGAAAGAAAAUAUGGCAAAUAAUGUGCCACGUGAUGGAAAAGCCAAUCCUGAAGAAGGUUACGGUCGGAUAUUACCUCCACCUUAUACUUCACAGUACGACGACACUCAACGUCCCCAGUACUUCGUUAAUGUCUAGCUUAAAAAAUGAUCUUCCACUUUUUAAAAUAAAGCGAUGAAUUAGGUAAUUCAUACAGUUCGGAAGCGUUUAAUUUUGUAAACUUAUUCUUAAGUUGAUUAUUUGCUCGUUUUUUAAUUUUUUUAAUUUCAUUUUUAUAAAGAAGAAUACACAUUAUAUUUUCUCAAAUCAUUAUAUUGAAUAUUUUAACUAGCAUUUCUCGCCUAUUUUAAUUCAUCGAUUAAUGUAACAAUGCCAGAAAGGUACACUCAGUUUUCCAUCCGCAGCUCACGCUCACUGGAGUGGGUGAUGCCUCUUUUGAUUCGACUGCUCCAAAAUUGCAUUUGAAAUUAAAAAUCGUGAUCGCUCGAGUUUAUAAUUCAGUAUUUUUGGAUGUACAAUUCAGACUGGAAAACAGUCAAAUUUUAAAAUUUUACUUUCCCCCUUCUGUGGCGUUUUUUGGAGGGGAUUUGAAUUUUAUUUUUGAUUGAUUGCGAUGGUUUAAUAACGUAUUUCAAAUUUUGAGUAUAAUGUUUAAUUUAACAAAAUUUUGAUUUUUUUCAAAUUUUUUUAGCUCCAAUUUGAUUUUUAAUAAGCGACAAACUGGCAUCCUGUAUACCUUGGUUAGAAAUAUGUACCCCCCCUUUCCAUUUUGCUUGUCAGUUAUCGCCCAUUGGCCAUUGCGGAAAUCAAUCGAAAUAAUCGUGUACAGAGUUCGGUUCGAAGUGUACGGAUCUAGAGACACAGACAGCGCCAUAGGUACCACCUACUACAGAUCUUUAGUGAACUUAUGCGCAUGAACAAUUUGAACGUUCUCGUUAAAUGCUUGUGACAUGUGACGAUGAGUCAGUUCAACACUGAAACGGUUGAAAUUAAAUAGCUGAAAGCUGAUUGAUUGUUUUCAUUAAAAUUUUUUUUCUCGACCCGUACUCUCUGUCUAUUUUUUCUCAUAUUGAGUUGUGGAAAAUUUUCUUUCAUUCAAAAUGGUUUUAAGAAAAGUGUGUUGUUUAUCAUUGCGAAUGGGCAGUCUGGUUUUACUCUAUAUUUACCUGAUUGGUUGUGCGUUGAGCGUGUUGAGUGUUUUACCGGGUGUAGGCCAUCCUAGGAUCAAUAAGUUUUUAAGUGAAAAUGAUUCAUUGUUUUACUCGAAUUUGUUUCUAUCGAUAAUUGGAGGAUUGAUUUUCUUGGCAACUAUCAUAUCCAUUACUAAAAAAACACCCUCCAAUUCUUUGUUGAUCGCGACAAUGUCAUUUUUAAUCCUGAAAGUGAUCUGUGGCGUUUGUGUGAUGAUACUACUUUAUUCGAAUGAUUCUUUUAAGAAUUUUUACAAUGAGGCGGUGAACGAGAAAGCGCAGAAACUCGUAAUAAAUCCGAAGGAUCGAGAGGAAUAUGUGAAACUAAUGCAUGCAAUGUAUGGAUCGGUUCUGGCUAUUAUUUGCCUCGCUCUGCUGUGUAGCAUCGCUUUUUCUCUGUAUUCAGUCCUGGUUUUCUACAGCUACAGGGCUGAGAUGAAAGAAAAUAUUGCAAAUAAUGUGCCACGUGAUGGAAAAGCCAAUCCUGAAGAAGGUUACGGUCGUUUAUCUCCACCUUAUACUUCACAGUAGGACACUCAACGUUCCCAGUACUUCGUCAAUGUCUAGCUUAAAAAAUGAUCUUCCACUUUUUAAAAUAAAGUGAUGACUUGAUUUAUACAGUUCGGAAGCGUUUAAUUUUGUAAAAUUAUGCUUAAGUUGAUUAUUUGCUCGUUUCUUGUAACAGGAUGCAAAAAAAUAUUGAGUAGGUACAAAGUAAGCACCUCCAAAAAAGUUUCGUGCCACAUCAUUCGAUUGGUCACAAUAAUAGGUAAAUUAAUAAUAACGAUAGCGGGUGAUUGCUUGAUGGACUGAUUCGAGUGAUGUGAUAAUAUUCCACCAAUCAUGCGUCUAUUUCACGUUGCCAAGUACCAACUCACAUUUAAAAAAAAAAAAAACUUUCUUUAUGGUAUGUAGGUACUCGAUAUUUCUGCGCAUCCUGUACCUUGGUGAGAAAUAUUUACCCCCUUUCCAUUUUGCUUGUCAGUUAUCGCCCAUUAGCCAUUGCAGAAAGCAAACGAAAUAAUCAUCAACAGGUUAGGUCUGAAGUGCGUAUAUGUACACUGUAGAGAGACAAGACAGUACAGAGUACAGACUACAGAUUUUUAGUGAAUUCAUGUGCGUGAACAAUUUGAGCAUUCUCGAUAAAUGCUUGUUCAGUCAGUUUAAAACGGAAACGGUUGAAAUUGGAAUAGCUGAUUGAUUGUGUUCAUUAGAAAUUAUUUUUUCUCCACGCUUGCUCUCUGUCUAAUUUUUCUUAUUAUUGUAUCGAGUUUUGGAGAAUUUUCUUUCAUUCAAAAUGGUUUUUAAAAAAUGGUGUUGUUGUUUAUCAUUGCGAAUGGGCAGUCUGAUUUUACUCUAUAUUUACCUGAUUGAUUAUGCGUGGACCAUGUUGAAUGAUUUGUCCAAUGUAGGCGAUCGUAAGAUCAAUACGUUGUUAAGUAAAAAUGUUGCAUUGGUUUACUCGAAUUUGUUUUUAUCGAUAACAGGAGUAUUGAUUUUCUUGGCAACUAUCAUAUCCAUUACUAAA